rnacentral:sRNA from 1 species
GCUUGGUGUGGUGGCACAUACCUGUAAUCCCAGCAACUUGGGAGGCUGAGGCAGGAGGAUCACCAGUUCAAAGCCAGCCUCAGCAAAAGUGAGGCACUAAGUAACUCAGUGAGACCCUGUCUCAA